CGGGGUGCAGCAGGCGCGAAAACUCUACAAUGCAGGCAACUGCGAUAGGGGAACAUCGAGUGGCGUCCAUAUUGGAUGUCUGUCCUCCCGCCUAAAAAGCGGGAGUUAGCAAGGGCCGGGCAAGACCGGUGCCAGCCGCCGCGGUAAUACCGGCGGCUCGAGUGGUGGCCGAUAUUAUUGAGUCUAAAGGGUCCGUAGCCGGCUUUGCAAGUCUCUCGGGAAAUCCAGCGGCUUAACCGUUGGUCGUCCGGGGGGUACUACAUUGCUUGGGACUGGGAGAGGUAGGAGGUACUCAGGGGGUAGGAGUGAAAUCCUGUAAUCCUUUGGGGACCACCGGUGGCGAAGGCGUCCUACCAGAACAGGUCCGACGGUGAGGGACGAAAGCUAGGGGCACGAACCGGAUUAGAUACCCGGGUAGUCCUAGCCGUAAACGAUGCUCGCUAGGUGUCACAACAGUCGUGAACUGUUGUGGUGCCGUAGGGAAGCCGUGAAGCGAGCCACUUGGGAAGUACGACCGCAAGGUUGAAACUUAAAGGAAUGGC
rnacentral:rRNA from 1 species